rnacentral:rRNA from 1 species
GAUGAACGCUAGCGGCAGGCCUAAUACAUGCAAGUCGAACGGUGUAGCAAUACACAGGGGCGCACGGGUGCGUAACACGUAUGCAACCUACCUUACAUUGGGGGAUAGCCUUUCGAAAGGGAGAUUAAUAACGCAUAAGACAGUAACUAGGCAUCUAGUAGCUGUUAAAGAUUUAUCGAUGUAAGCUGGGCAUGCGGCCAAUUAGUUAGUUGGCGAGGUAAGGGCUCACCAAGACGAUGAUUGGUAGGGGAACUGAGAGGUCAAUCCCCCACACUGGCACUGAGAUACGGGGCAGACUCCUACGGGAGGCAGCACUAGGGAAUAUUGGGCAACGGGCGCACGCCUGACCCAGCCAUGCCGCGUGCAGGAAGAAGGCGUUAUGCGUUGUAAACUGCUUUUAUACAGGAAGAAACGACCCUUGCGAGGGGCAUUGACGGUACUGUAUGAAUAAGCACCGGCUAACUCCGUGCCAGCCGCCGCGGUAAUAC